AGAAGAACAUUUCAUCUCUGAACAUUAAACAGACCCGUCUGAUUUCACUUUGCCGCUACAAGUGGAGGUGGAACCUGGUGGAGAAAAACAGUUAACGUUGCUGCUUAGAAUGCUUCCGGUACCCAUCAGUUCCCAGAAAACUAUUCUUGAAAUCACAUCUGCUGUGCAGAUACUGGGCUUGACCAGAUCAGAUAAACUACCUUGAAAGCUCCGUUCUGGAUUUUAUAAGCUUUUAGCCUGCUUCCUGGAACGAAAGGAUUCCCGUUAGUUGGACUUUGCUAAUUGUUUUUAUGUCUGAAGUUCCAUCUUUUGUUUCUUUCUUUAAUGAGAUAAAGUCUCAUGUAGACCAGGCUGUUUUGGAACUUGCUUUGUAGCCUAGGAUGGUUCUCCAACCUCCACAUUCUCAGGGCUUCUGUUUAUUCAACACUGAGGAUGGAACCCAGGGCUUUGAGCACUUGAGGCAAGCAAGCAUUCUACCAACUGAUGUCAUAAUUGAUUUCUCAGAAGAGCAGGAGCCCCCUGGCUAAUAAAUUUAUAUUGUCUUAAAGGGACAACAGUAAGAGACUACCUGAAAAAAAAAAAUGUUUUCCUGAAAACCUGGAGCAUUCUGAACACACAGGUCUGCUUUCCUCAUCCUCACACGAUGCAGUUUCUGCAGGUUCAAAGCCAUCCUCCCCGAUGGGCUGAUAUGAGGCUUUUGAACACAUUACUUCACAGAAUGCAGCUGCUGCAUCCAAGUUAUGUGAAGACAUUGUCAUUGAUGUCCCAGAAGAGCAGGAACCUCCCGAUACAAGCCAACAUCAAGACUUGGAAGACACAGUUGCUUCACAGGAUACACUUUCUGAGGCCAAGCUAUCUGAAGAUGUCAUGACUGAUAUCCCAGAAGAGCAGAAGGAGCCCCCAACCCAUCAAUUUUCUUAAAGGUUCCACAAUCCUCUUUGUGUGUAGGCUCAAGAUCUGGACAGUUCAAAAUAAUUUAGAAAUAUUUUACCAAGAAAAUGCAAAAGAUGUAAAUCUUGGCUUGUGAUGUUUUGAAGUGGAAAAAAUUUUUAAAAAUGAAUAUAAUCUGGAGUAUAUUUUAAAAAAUAGACAUCCUGAGUAACUUUGAUCAUGUUAGUUUGAAAACUAGAUUUGAGACCAAAGAUGUUGGAUAUUUUUGUGGCUGUUGUAGGAUUUCAUUGUCUGCAUUGAAAUGUUCCUUGCGGCCACUGCCCAUCAUUAUUCGUUCUCCUAUAAUCCCUAUAUGCGAGAGGCAGAGGAAUUCUCUUGCUUUGGCUCUCCUGGCUAUGUGGAUGUGUCAGAUUUCAGAGAUGAUAUUUCUGAACAAAUAAGACGUGUGGGGAGAACAAUGCGAGUGUAUCAGAAAAAAAAGUUUCCCUGAAGACCCAGAACAUAGUGAACACACAAGUCUGCUUUCCUCAUCGUCACAAGAUGCAGUUUCUGCAGGUUCAAAGCCAUGCUCAGCCGUGGGCCAAUAUCAGGCCUUUGCACGCACGAUUACUUCACAGAAUGCAGCUGCUGCAUCCAAGUUAUGUGAAGACAUUGUCAUUGAUGUCCCAGAAGAGCAGGAACCUCCUGAUACAAGCCAACAUCAAGACUUGGAAGACACAGUUGCUUCACAGGAUACACUUUCUGAGGCCAAGCUAUCUGAAGAUGUCAUGACUGAUAUCCCAGAAGAGCAGAAGGAGCCCCCAACCCAUCAAUGGAUUCUUAAAGCCUUAGAGCCAAUCCUUAUCCCGAAGUUACGGAUCCGGCUUGCCGACUUCCCUUACCUACAUUGUUCCAACAUGCCAGAGGCUGUUCACCUUGGAGACCUGCUGCGGAUAUGGGUACGGCCCGGCGCGAGAUUUACACCCUCUCCCCCGGAUUUUCAAGGGCCAGCGAGAGCUCACCGGACGCCGCCGGAACCGCGACGCUUUCCAAGGCAC